rnacentral:misc_RNA from 1 species
GGAAGGAUCAUUAACAAAUUCAAACACUGACGUCCCACUUGACUGCUUUUGCUGGUUCUCAAAAGGAACCAUGUAACGGUACCAAGUGGUGUACACACAUACACACUUUGAUUGACAACACCUAGUGAUUAUCUAGUUAAUUUGUAGACAACUUUUAACAAUGGAUCUCUUGGCUCUUGCAACGAUGAAGAACGCAGCGAACUGCGAAACGUAAUGUGACCUGCACUCUUCGUGAAUCAUCCAAUCUUUGAACGCACUUUGCACCUCGUGGCUCAUGUCACAAGGUAUACUUGUUUGAGUAUCCACAACAUCCUCACUACACCUUCGGGUCGUAGUGGACUUGAGAUUCGAUGAGCUGUUCUCUUUUGAAUAGCGAGUCGUCUCUUUAAAGGAAGGCCGACCACACGUGUCUCAGCUGAGAUAUGGUUAUUGGGAUAACAUCCUAACAAUAGCCAUAGGCUCCGACAUGGAAGGCCAUCUUGCAUUGACUGCCACUUAACAAUGGACGUUGAUACAUAUGGUGCACACGCAAGUGGACACUAGUUAAAUGGAUCUCAAAUCAAGUAGGGAUACCCGCUGAACUUAAGCAUAUCAGUAAGCGGAGGAAAAGAAACUAACAAGGAUUCCCUUAGUAACGGCGAGUGAACCGGGAAAAGCUCAAAUUUAAAAUCUAGUGCCUUUGGUACUCGAGUUGUAUUUGAAAGGGUCUUCUUUCUGAGAAGACUAUGGCCAAAGUUCUCUGGAAAGGGACAACAAAGAGGGUGACAUUCCCGUCUAGGUCAUAGUUGACGAAGGUAUAAAGAAGGCUCAAAGAGUCGGAUUGUUUGGGAAUGCAGUCCAAAAUGGGUGGUACAUUUCAUCUAAAGCUAAAUAUUGGCAAGAGACCGAUAGCGAACAAGUACCGUGAGGGAAAGAUGAAAAGAACUUUGAAAAGAGAGUUAAAUAGUACGUGAAAUUGUUAAAAGGGAAACGAUUGAGACCAGUGAUGUGGCGUUCGCUUAAGCCUACUCUUCGGGGGAGGUGUAUGUGUUCGUCACAAGUCGAUGCCUCUUUUGUGACUUGGAAAAGACAGCUGGAAAGGUGGCUCUACCGCAAGGUAGUUGCUUUAUAGUCCAGUUGGGAUACAAGUUGCGAGAGAGGACUCACAAGGGCGCAAGCUCACGUCGACGAAAUGGUCUUAAACGACCCGUCUUGAAACACGGACCAAGGAGUCUAACAACUAUGCGAGUAUUUGGGUGGUUAAAACCCGAGUGCGUAAAGAAACUGAACGCGUGGGAAGUGUAUCCUCGAGGGGACGCACUGCACCAUGGGCCGGUUCUAGUCUUUGACUGGGAUUGCGCUAGAGCAUAUCUGUUGGGACCCGAAAGAUGGUGAACUAUGCCUGAAUAGGGUGAAGCCAGAGGAAACUCUGGUGGAGGCUCGUAGACAUUCUGACGUGCAAAUCGAUGUUCAAAUUUGGGUAUAGGGGCGAAAGACUAAUCGAACCAUCUAGUAGCUGGUUCCCUC